CGGGUGAGUAACACGUGGAUAACCUACCUAUAAGACUGGGAUAACUUCGGGAAGCCGGAGCUAAUACCGGAUAAUAUAUUGAACCGCAUGGUUCAAUAGUGAAAGACGGUUUUGCUGUCACUUAUAGAUGGAUCCGCGCCGCAUUAGCUAGUUGGUAAGGUAACGGCUUACCAAGGCAACGAUGCGUAGCCGACCUGAGAGGGUGAUCGGCCACACUGGAACUGAGACACGGUCCAGACUCCUACGGGAGGCAGCAGCU
rnacentral:rRNA from 1 species